rnacentral:tRNA from 1 species
GAGGAUGUGGCUCAAGUGGUAGCGCGCUCGCCUGGCAUGUGCGCAGCGCUGGGUUCGAUCCUCAGCACCACA